rnacentral:lncRNA from 1 species
AGAAAAAUGAUUUUGACAAAUUAUGUAUUUUAUGAGCAAAAAUAUGCAACCUGCUGCGUUUGGCACUUUGUCCUUCCAUUCCUGAAAGAAAGGUAAAUUGCCUUUGCUGUGAGUCACUGUAAUUGGAUUCCAAUUUCUCCAACAGCACUGUCGAUUAGCUGAGAUGCCCACCUGGAAGCAUUCAGUGACAGCUGGCAGAUUCUUCCUUAUGGGCCAUCCCUAUGGGGGCUAACCAAAGCCCAUCACCCAUGUUACUUUCUUCAUCAAUGGAAGAACAACUCUGUGGACUACACUGUGCCAGAUCAUUCCCGCGGAGUUGGAGAGUGCAUGCCCCACACUGAAUCGAUGAGGCCGGCUUCCGUGGUGCACAUGGAACAAGUUACCCGGGAUGGUAAACUCAACAUGUUGACUAGGCCUUCGCAGCAGUGUUAACCAUCUGGACUGUGAAAGAAUUGGUCCGAUUUGAGGUAAGAAGCACAGACUCUGUGAUGUGGUCUGGCCUCCCAUGGCACUCACGGUCCUCACUGCCUCUGAACUGGUUUCUGGAAAAACAGCCGAAGCUCA